UAGGGAAUCUUCGGCAAUGGACGAAAGUCUGACCGAGCAACGCCGCGUGAGUGAAGAAGGUUUUCGGAUCGUAAAACUCUGUUGUUAGAGAAGAACGACGAGGAGAGUGGAAAGCUCCAUGUGUGACGGUAUCUAACCAGAAAGGGACGGCUAACUACGUGUCAG
rnacentral:rRNA from 1 species